UCUUCAUCCACCAGCCUCUUGUUCUCUAUUUUUAUAGAAAAAGUUCAGUCUCCAUUAGGAAAACAGUCAAAAUCAAGAAACUGGAAAGAUCGUUUCUGUAGUAUCUUUUAUUUCAUUCAGAUUGUUUCCGAUCAUCAUCAAACCACCCAUUUUUUUCAUCAUUCUAAAGGUUAAAAAAAAAUUCAAGAAAGAAAUAGAAGCAGUACAACACGAUUGGACUUUAGAUAAAGCUGUUAAUUACUAUGGAAGGAAAUAAGAGAACCAAUAAGGAUGCUGCUGGUGUUAAACACUGGUGUGACAUAUGUAACGCUAAUAUCACUGUGACUCUUGACUAAUUUAACCAGCAUCGAACUACAUAUGCAAGAGUUGUUACAGCAGCAGAGGAAAGCUGAAGAAGAGUUGAAGAGAGAAAAUGAGGAGUCGGGCCAGGAAAAGAAAAAGGAGGCUAAUUUAUAUGAAUAUAAAAAGAAACAAAGGAGAUUUUAGAUGCUUCUUCCGGUGGAGUUCACUGCUCAAAGUCAUGAUAUUCUUUUAGCUUAUGUCUCUUUUAGAGAUCUCUGGUGUUAUUUAUUUAGAGUUUCAUUUGAGUAUUUUUAUGAACUUAAAAGUGUUUUUAGUUUUGAAACUUUUUAUGAACUCCGAAGUUUUUUUAGAUUCUUUAACUCUGUGAUA